rnacentral:rRNA from 1 species
GACAGAGGGUGCAAACGUUGCUCGGAAUCACUGGGCGUAAAGGGCGUGUAGGCGGGAAGGAAAGUCAGAUGUGAAAUCCCCAGGCUCAACCUGGGAACUGCAUUUGAAACUCCCUUUCUUGAGUACCGGAGAGGAAAGUGGAAUUCCUGGUGUAGAGGUGAAAUUCGUAGAUAUCAGGAGGAACACCAGUGGCGAAGGCGGCUUUCUGGACGGUAACUGACGCUGAGACGCGAAAGCGUGGGGAGCGAACAGG